rnacentral:rRNA from 1 species
GCCGGAUUAGCUGAGAGGUGGUGCAUGGCCGUCGUCAGUUCGUACUGUGAAGCAUCCUGUUAAGUCAGGCAACGAGCGAGACCCCACGCCCACAGUUGCCAGCGUACUCUCUGGAGUGACGGGUACACUGUGGGGACCGCCGCUGCUAAAGCGGAGGAAGGAAUGGGCAACGGUAGGUCAGUAUGCCCCGAAUAUCCCGGGCUACACGCGAGCUACAAUGGUUGGUACAAUGGGUAUCUACCCCGAAAGGGGACGGGAAUCUCCUAAAACCAAUCUUAGUUCGGAUUGAGGGCUGCAACUCGCCCUCAUGAAGCUGGAAUCCGUAGUAAUCGCGUUUCAACAGGACGCGGUGAAUACGUCCCUGCUCCUU